rnacentral:rRNA from 1 species
GACGAACGCUGGCGGCGUGCUUAACACAUGCAAGUCGAACGGAAAGGCCUGCUUUCCCUUGUGGAUUGCGGGUACUCGAGUGGCGAACGGGUGAGUAACACGUGGGUGAUCUGCCCCCAACUUGGGUAUAAGCCUGGGAAACUGGGUCUAAUUCCCGAUAGGACUGCAGGGUGGUGCCUGUGGUGGAAAACGAUUUUCUAGUGGUUGGGGAUGAGCUCGCGGCCUAUCAGCUUGUUGGUGGGGUAAUGGCCUACCAAGGCGGCGACGGGUAGCCGGCCUGAGAGGGUGGACGGCCACAUUGGGACUGAGAUACGGCCCAGACUCCUACGGGAGGCAGCAGUGGGGAAUAUUGCACAAUGGGCGGAAGCCUGAUGCAGCGACGCCGCGUGGGGGAUGACGGCCUUCGGGUUGUAAACUCCUUUCGACCGCGAGGAAGCCACCUGGUUGGAAGGGUGGUGACGGUAGUGGUAGAAGAAGCACCGGCUAACUACGU